CUGCUCUGCUACUGUUGCUGGCACCACUGCCCCUGCUUGCUGGCUGCUGCCUUCUGCCUGGCCUGCCACAGUGACUGUUCGCUCUGUGCUGCCCCUCUGCCAUGCCGCCCUGCCUUGGAGCCAGCCAACUAUGGCUUGAAACCUCGACAUACUGUCUCACGAGUGCGGAGGCUGGUCUUGAACUUGUGAUCCUCGUGCCUCAACUGGGGUGAUGGGAUUACAGGCAUGCAGCCAUUACAAGGAUUCAGCACAGAGACGUCCUGUUUGGAACUGCAGCUGUCUGCGGAAGCAAGCACCUCUGUCCAUGAAGGAGGAGACCCAUGCUGGAGGCCCUCUGCAGCACCUGCCAAAGCCCUGUUGGCCUUCAAGACCCAGCUCACGUCUCUCCUGGCUACCGCUGUCAUCAGCACCCUCUGAGUCCAUCAUAGAUUCUAUCCCUUGCAGGUGCACAGAUUCUAUCCCUCGCAUGUGCUUUCCACUGUCAGGACUCUGAUGCAUUUAUGUGAUUGUCUCCUCACAGCAGACGGGGUGAGGGGCUCUGAAGCCUGUGUUUCAGAACCAGAAUAGCGCCUACUGGCUAUUCAAUAAAUGAACAUUGCACUGAAUAAAAUAGAAACCACCAAUAAAGGAAGUAGCUGCACAGUAUCAGAGGGAUUGAAUGUCAGGCAGGAUGAAAGUGAGGUGGAUGACAGAGAGGCUGUGAUCUCAGUCUUCCUAGACCCCUCACUUCACUUGGAGGCCCAAGGGUCCAGGUGAGAGAGGAGCAAGCCUUUGAGCUUGAAAUGUCUCAGGUGAUGCGGGAGCCAGGGGAAAAAUAAUGUAGUCUGUAAAGAGCCAUGUGGCUGAUGGAGUUGAAAAGCAGAGGUAGAACCCAGAGGGAAGGAAAGCGCCCUAGGGAAGAGGAAAUUAGGCAGCGUCCUACCCUUACUCUUUACCUGACAGCUGUCACCCAGCUUCCAACCUAAAGAAAGGCACACAAACAAGCUUACAGAUGGGGCAUGUGCAAAGCCACAAAGGCAGGGAAGCAACCCCAGACACACAGCCACACAGACGCACAGCAAGUGAGAGAGGCACAAAUGGUGGGGGUCCGGAGGGGAGGGACUGACCUGAAAGUUAUAGACCAUUUACAUAUGUAAAUAAAAUACCUUUGUAUUUAA